GCUAGCAGUCAUACCACCUGCAGUUCAGACUAGGUAAUCCACUGGAAGCUAAGCAAAUUUGGGCUUGCCCAGUACCUGGACGGGAGACCAACUACAAAAGCAGGAUUGCUACUG
rnacentral:rRNA from 1 species